UACAGAGGGUGCAAGCGUUGUUCGGAAUUAUUGGGCGUAAAGCGCUGGUAGGUGGCUUGUUAAGUCGCGUGUGAAAGCUCCAGGCUCAACCUGGAAAGUGCGCGCGAAACUGGCGAGCUUGAGUGCCGGAGAGGGUCGCGGAAUUCCCAGUGUAGAGGUGAAAUUCGUAGAUAUUGGGAGGAACACCAGAGGCGAAGGCGGCGACCUGGAAGGUAACUGACGCUGAGGCGCGAAAGCGUGGGGAGCAAACAGG
rnacentral:rRNA from 1 species